UACGGAGGGUGCAAGCGUUAUCCGGAAUCACUGGGUUUAAAGGGUGCGUAGGCGGUUUGAUAAGUCAGAGGUGAAAGCUAGCAGCUUAACUGUUAAAUUGCCUUUGAUACUGUCAGACUUGAAUCAAGUUGGGGUAGGCGGAAUGUGACAUGUAGCGGUGAAAUGCAUAGAUAUGUCAUAGAACACCAAUUGCGUAGGCAGCUUGCUGGGCUUGAAUUGACGAUGAGGCACGAAAGCGUGGGGAUCAAACAGG
rnacentral:rRNA from 1 species